UCCGGAGUUUCUCCGGCAGUCCCCCAUGAGUGCUCGGCACUACCCGGUGGCAACAUAGGGCGGGGGUUGCGCUCGUUGCGGGACUUAACCCAACACCUCACGGCACGAGCUGACGACAGCCAUGCAGCACCUGUGCAGGCUCCCGAAGGAGCGCCGUGUUUCCACGGCUUUACCCUGCAUGUCAAGCCCUGGUAAGGUUCUUCGCGCUGCGUCGAAUUAAGCCACAUGCUCCGCCGCUUGUGCGGGCCCCCGUCAAUUCCUUUGAGUUUCAGUCUUGCGACCGUACUCCCCAGGCGGGGUGCUUAAUGCGUUAGCUGCGGCACGGAAGGCGUCGAUAGCCUCCCACACCUAGCACCCAUCGUUUACGGCUGGGACUAC
rnacentral:misc_RNA from 1 species